AACGCUAGCUACAGGCUUAACACAUGCAAGUCGAGGGGCAGCGGGAUUGAAGCUUGCUUCAAUUGCCGGCGACCGGCGCACGGGUGAGUAACGCGUAUCCAACCUUCCGUACACUCAGGGAUAGCCUUUCGAAAGAAAGAUUAAUACCUGAUAGUAUGAUGAGAUUGCAUGGUAUCAUCAUUAAAGAUUUAUCGGUGUACGAUGGGGAUGCGUUCCAUUAGGUAGUAGGCGGGGUAACGGCCCACCUAGCCAACGAUGGAUAGGGGUUCUGAGAGGAAGGUCCCCCACAUUGGAACUGAGACACGGUCCAAACUCCUACGGGAGGCAGCAGUGAGGAAUAUUGGUCAAUGGACGAGGGUCUGAACCAGCCAAGUAGCGUGAAGGAUGAAGGUCCUACGGAUUGUAAACUUCUUUUAUAAGGGAAUAAACCCUCCCACGUGUGGGAGCUUGUAUGUACCUUAUGAAUAAGCAUCGGCUAACUCCGUGCCAGCAGCCGCGGUAAUACGGAGGAUGCGAGCGUUAUCCGGAUUUAUUGGGUUUAAAGGGAGCGCAGACGGGUCGUUAAGUCAGCUGUGAAAGUUUGGGGCUCAACCUUAAAAUUGCAGUUGAUACUAGCGUCCUUGAGUGCGGUUGAGGUGUGCGGAAUUCGUGGUGUAGCGGUGAAAUGCUUGGAUAUCACGAAGAACUCCGAUUG
rnacentral:rRNA from 1 species